AAAAAAAAAACAACACUCACCUGUGUUCCCAAGAGGAAAAGUCCUGUGCACCUCAAUGUGCAGCCACUGCCAGUGAGACCAGAGAGGUGUGAAAGCAAGCAUCAGGACAUGAAAAAUCCCAACUGAGGUUUGUGGGUUUGUAAAUUUACCUGAAACAUAAUAAGUGUAAAGCUUGUGAAGAUGUGAAGAUCCAGCAGAUUAGAAGUAACACAUGAAGUAAAUGCAACUAUAUACAGCUGUCAAUCUGGCAAAUAUGAAAUAUAGUUUUUAUAUAUGUGGAUAUACAUAUAUGUACAUACAUAUCUAAUUAAAAAAAAAAAAACAAAAACAAAAACAAAACAAACAAAAAACAAACAAACAAACAAACCAAAAAAAACACACAAAAAAAACCUACCUGAUUUUAGGAAAGGUCUGACUGAGAAAAGGAUUCUUAGUAAACUUAACUUUGAAAUACUUUUGAAGGGUAAUUAAUAAAGGGCAUUAAAUUCCUGCAGGAUUUUACUGCAUAUUAUGUGCUGUGAGUGAUUUUUCUUCACUUGCAGUCAUGCUGGGGACAAUGCAAUGAGGUUUGCCAGAGGCUGAAUGCACAGCUGUGAUGUUCAGGCAGAGUAUGCCCUGAGGAUGGGUUCAGGUGUCUUCUGACUACCCCCACCCCAGGGCUUACCACACGUCCCUUGCUCCCACAGGUGGUCUCCACCAAAGCUUGAUGAGAUCCAGCUACUCCCCUGGGACAACAAGGGUGCGAAUGGGACUGCAUGCAGCCAGGUAGGUCCAGACUGAGAACAAUAGUUUGAGAUUAAACACAAGAAGAAACCAGUGGAGGCUGGUGAGACAAAUCUGCGUGGGUAGGAACUGGGGAGUGAUUUUGUUGGUUUUAGCUCAGUAAGGCCUUUCAGCUGCGUUUGGUGUUUCCAUGCUUAGGAAGGUGUCGGAACUGAACAGAACAACUCAACUUAGGACAUGGAGGUAUGCAAGCCAUGUUUCUAAGAGGCCAGAUGUUUUACCUCCAGGGAAGGUAGCACCAAGAAUCCAUAGGAUUGCUCACAGGAGACCGAGACUUACACAGCUGGAAAAGGAUUUCGAGAUCUAUUCCUGUAGAGUAGAACAAGAUCCAUUAUACCCAUGUCAUUCUUGACAAAAGUCUUAUUUGGUCCUGGCCAGAGGGACCCCACAGACUACUCAAUGGGGUGCUGCACUCCCUGUCCUAUUGGAAGGUUUCCAGAACAUCUGUUUUGAACCUUCUUCAUGGUAAGUCAAGCCCUCUAUACCUUGUCCUAUUCCCAGUGAUGCACAGAACAACAUAUUACUUAUCCUUGCAUCAUGAGGGCGCUUUACGUAUUUUGGGAUAUUUACUUUGAUGUUUACAUCACAAGAGUAUUCCUGGGCAGCCUCAGUUUGCUUUGCCUUUCCUCUGAGGUCAUGUUUCUGAGAUCAUUCCUGCUGGCCUCUCCUCUGGACUCUCUCUAGUGUUUGUGUAUUUUAUCCGGUGACUAUUAAUACAAAAUGUGGCGACGUAAAAAGUUGCUUUUGGCGCCUGUGGAUGGUCCAAGCUGUGGGGAGAUCCACAUGAGCCAGGAUUUCUCCACAGCUGUCUGGGCCCUUCUGUCCUCUGUGGAAUGCGUGCGGUGAGAAAUUGGUACACAAAUUGUGCUUGCAGCAACGACGAAUGCGGGGAAAGGGAACAUAUGUGAAUGUCCUCUGACAGUUAAACAAGACAGACAGU
rnacentral:lncRNA from 1 species